AGCGUGCGCAGGCGGUUAUGUAAGACAGAUGUGAAAUACCCCGGGCCUCAACCUGGGAACUGCAUUAGUGACUGCAUAGCUGGAGUACGGCAGAGGGGGAUGGAAUUCCGCGUGUAGCAGUGAAAUGCGUAGAUAUGCGGAGGAACACCGAUGGCGAAGGCAAUCCCCUGGGCCUGUACUGACGCUCAUGCACGAAAGCGUGGGGAGCAAACAGGAUUAGAUACCCCAGU
rnacentral:rRNA from 1 species